UGUGUAGGCGGAUUGUUAAGCGAGAUGUGAAAGCCCAGGGCUCAACCUUGGAACUGCAUUUCGAACUGGCUGUCUAGAGUAUUGUAGAGGGUGGUGGAAUUUCCAGUGUAGCGGUGAAAUGCGUAGAGAUUGGAAGGAACAUCAGUGGCGAAGGCGGCCACCUGGACAAAUACUGACGCUGAGACACGAAAGCGUGGGGAGCAAACA
rnacentral:rRNA from 1 species